rnacentral:rRNA from 1 species
UGCCUAUCUUUCUGUCGGGGACGGGCUCUUGGGCUUCAUUGUCCGGGACUCGGAGUCGACGUGGUUACUUUGAGUAAAUUAGAGUGUUCAAAGCAAGCGUUCGCUGUGAAUACAUUAGCAUGGAAUAACACGAUAGGACUCUGGCUUAUCUUGUUGGUCUGUAAGACCGGAGUAAUGAUUAAGAGGGACAGUCGGGGGCAUUCGUAUUUCAUUGUCAGAGGUGAAAUUCUUGGAUUUAUGAAAGACGAACUUCUGCGAAAGCAUUUGCCAAGGAUGUUUUCAUUAAUCAAGAACGAAAGUUGGGGGCUCGAAGACGAUUAGAUACCGUCGUAGUCUCAACCAUAAACGAUGCCGACUAGGGAUUGGCAGGUGUUUCGUUGAUGACCCUGCCAGCACCUUAUGAGAAAUCAAAGUUUUUGGGUUCCGGGGGGAGUAUGGUCGCAAGGCUGAAACUUAAAGGAAUUGACGGAAGGGCACCACCAGGCGUGGAGCCUGCGGCUUAAUUUGACUCAACACGGGGAAACUUACCAGGUCCAG